rnacentral:rRNA from 1 species
AACGUAGGACGCAAGCGUUAUCCGGAGUUACUGGGCGUAAAGGGCGCGUAGGCGGCUCCUCAAGUCGGGGGUGAAAUCCUCUCGCUUAACGAGAGAAUUGCCUCCGAUACUGGGGAGCUGGAGGGGGAUAGGGGUGCGCGGAACUUCCGGUGGAGCGGUGAAAUGCGUAGAUAUCGGAAGGAACGCCGGUGGCGAAAGCGGCGCACUGGAUCCCCACUGACGCUGAGGCGCGAAAGCCAGGGGAGCAAACGGG